rnacentral:antisense_RNA from 1 species
CUUCAGCGAGCCCAGCCACAGGGGCCGCUCGGCGUCACGGUGCUGCCCGUAGGUCGCCAGGACGGCCUGUGCCUC